rnacentral:lncRNA from 1 species
GUCUUGCUUCAUGAUGUCUUAGAGUCAACAGGGUGUUUGGCAUCUUGGCAAGCCACACCCAUUUUCUCUUGAGAGGCUGAGUGGCUUUGUGGUUCCAGUAAGUGACUGGAUCUCUAGUGCUGUGUGGAACCUGGGGCACAGCUGGAUAGGUAUUCACAUGUAUUUGGGUGUCUCAUCUAUAGGACUGCCACUGGGAGCUCCCAGAUACCAGAUGAUACCAGCAUUCAAGAACAAUAUGUAGCCUUCAUAUGUGGCCUUUAAAAAACCCUUUAUUUCAAGUGACCAAAAGCAGACAUGAAGACCACAAUGAGAGAAGAGACCUCCUGCAGGAAGGUGAGUUGCCUCUUAUGUUUCUUUGCAUCUCCAUGAAGGUUCAUGAAGGUCACACAGUUGUCAAACCUGUCCUCUUCCCCUCCAGGGCAGAACCAGCAGAUUUCCACCACACCCCGCAUCAAGAGGCAAUUCUUGCUGAUUUCUCUGCAGUGUCAAUGGAAAAACACAUCAUGUUCACUGAGAAGACAGUUCAUGAUCUGAGAUUUGGAAGUAGACAGGCCAUUGCCUACUCUAAUGAAGGACUCAAUGGGAGUGGAGACACGACACAUGUGAAGAUUCUUGUGACUGUUUCUUUCCUUGCUGCCGAUUUCUCCUAAUUUGUCUGAGAGACCAGAGAGAGAAUUCAAUUUGAGAAGUGCAGGGAUUUGGCACCAGGAGGGGCAGGGCAAAUUGACAGAUGGAUAAUUUGGUCAAAAUAUAUUUUCUAGCCAAAUUAUCUGCACAGUGAAAAAUGGCCAUCUGAAUAUCUGUGGGGUGAAUGUCAGGCCUGGACUCUUUUCUCAAAGGAUUAGUAAGACUAUCACCAUCUUCAAAAAAGUGUUCAUGAGGAUCAAUAGCCUCAUUUUCCUGUUUGGAGGCACCUGAAGAGACCUGAUGUUCUAUAUUUUCAUCAUCUUUGAAGACCUGGUACCUCAGUCCAUAAUCCAGCAUCAGUAGCUUCUGAAGGAUAUAGAAGGGAAGUUCCUGUUCACAUUUGGGCUGGGUGUUGCACACAGAAGUCUUGUAGAUUAAAUGGAAGUCAACUCUACUCAUCCUUUUUGAGUAGUAAUGUUCUAGGCCAAGACACUGGAGUAAACUAUAAAGGCUUUGUUUUCUAUCACUUCACUUGUGUUAUUUGCAUUAAUAUUUGAUUCACAGGGCUUUUUUUUUCCAUUUUCCUCCUGGAUCU